AGAAGCCCAGCUCGGAAUCACUUUCGGGUCUCUUGGAGUGGUGUUUAUGAUUAUUUUCGUUGGAUGCCUUAUCAGAUCACGGAGAACAGACAAAGAAAGGUAACUCUGAUCAUGAUAUCUGUUCUCUUAUUGUUUAGAUCAGAUAUCGUCUUUGCGUGUGUUAAUUUUGCUGAUCUUUCAUUUUAUGUAUGAAGUUUCUUGGAAGACGAUGCCACAGGCUGGCGGGGUUUGAAUGGUGGGGAUUCCAGGUGGUCCACCUUUUCUGGAAGAUACUCCACACGAGAUGUCCCAUACAAAAGAUCUCUAAGAGAUGGGAGAUAUUUAGUUCCGGCUCAUGACCCAUUUGGGAGUGGUCGGUUAACAAGGCCCGGUCUUUAUCUACCCAGAAACGGCGGGCUUAUGGCCACCAGUUUUAUUGAUGCUGUACCCAGCUACAGCCAUUUCAACCUUGAGGCAGACUUCACCAUCAAAAGGCCCGUUGUGUCCAAGGAACCAAGUGCAAUAUACCUGACAGACCAGUCGUGGGGAUCAGUGGGUUACACCAAUCCUGCUUUUUAUGAUUUUGUGGAGGAACGGACUCAUCUCUAGUUCACACAUCUCUCAACGGAAUAUAUUGAAAUUAAAUUUCUGUAACACAUCAUUAUGUACAUGUUUAUUCCCUGUUUAACGAUAUGUAUGAUAUGUAUUUCUUGUAAUAAAAAGACAAAUAUAUAU
rnacentral:misc_RNA from 1 species